rnacentral:rRNA from 1 species
UCCCUAGGGGUGCACCAGGCGCGCAAACUUUACAAUGCGAGCAAUCGUGAUAAGGAAACCCUGAGUGCCUGUCGAUGCAGGCUGUUCAUAUAUCUAAAUCAUAUGUGAAGAAAGGGCAGGGCAAGACCGGUGCCAGCCGCCGCGGUAAUUCA